GUCUAUGGUCAUGCUGCCCUGAACAAGCCCGAUCCCCUCUCAUCUCAGAAGCUAAGCAGGGUCGGGCCUGGUUAGUACUUGGAUGGGAGACCACCUAGGAAGACCAGGUGCUGUAGGUG
rfam:Pteropus alecto contig41685, whole genome shotgun sequence.